UGCGGUGUAGCUCAGUGGUAGAGCAGGCGGCUGUUAACCGCCGUGUCGCAAGUUCGAAUCUUGCCACCGCAGCCA
rnacentral:tRNA from 1 species